GCCCAGACUCCUACGGGAGGCAGCAGUGGGGAAUAUUGCACAAUGGGGGAAACCCUGAUGCAGCGACGCCGCGUGAGCGAUGAAGUAUUUCGGUAUGUAAAGCUCUCUCAGCAGGGAAGAAGAUGACGGUACCUGACUAAGAAGCCCCGGCUAACUACGUGCCAGCAGCCGCGGUAAUACGUAGGGGGCAAGCGUUAUCCGGAUUUACUGGGUGUAAAGGGAGCGUAGACGGCGAUGCAAGCCAGAUGUGAAAGCCCGGGGCUCAACCCCGGGACUGCAUUUGGAACUGUGUGGCUGGAGUGUCGGAGAGGCAGGCGGAAUUCCUAGUGUAGCGGUGAAAUGCGUAGAUAUUAGGAGGAACACCAGUGGCGAAGGCGGCCUGCUGGACGAUGACUGACGUUGAGGCUCGAAAGCGUGGGGAGCAAACAGGAUUAGAUACCCGUGUACG
rnacentral:rRNA from 1 species